ensembl:misc_RNA
AUGGUUAUUCUGUUUAUCUACAGAAUACAGGCAGUCUAGGCAAUGGUGGGGCAAGCUUCUCCUAUACUGUCCCACCAAUGCUCUUCAACCUGGACCUUCUCUAAAAGUGAAAGGAUUGUUCAGUCCUUGGCCUGU